rnacentral:rRNA from 1 species
AGAUUGAACGCUGGCGGCAGGCCUAACACAUGCAAGUCGAGCGGCAGCACGGGUACUUGUACCUGGUGGCGAGCGGCGGACGGGUGAGUAAUGCCUAGGAAUCUGCCUGGUAGUGGGGGAUAACGCUCGGAAACGGACGCUAAUACCGCAUACGUCCUACGGGAGAAAGCAGGGGACCUUCGGGCCUUGCGCUAUCAGAUGAGCCUAGGUCGGAUUAGCUAGUUGGUGAGGUAAUGGCUCACCAAGGCGACGAUCCGUAACUGGUCUGAGAGGAUGAUCAGUCACACUGGAACUGAGACACGGUCCAGACUCCUACGGGAGGCAGCAGUGGGAAUAUUGGACAAGUGGGCGAAAGCCUGAUCCAGCCAUGCCGCGUGUGUAGAAGAAGGUCUUCGGAUUGUAAAGCACUUUAAGUGGAGAAGGCAGUAAAUUAAUACUUUGCUUGUUUUGACGUUACCGACAGAAUAAGCACGGCUAACUCUGUG